AGAGUUUGAUCCUGGCUCAGAACGAACGCUGGCGGCAUGCCUAACACAUGCAAGUCGAACGCGGUCUUUCGGGACCGAGUGGCGCACGGGUGAGUAGCGCGUGGGAACCUGCCUUGUUGUGGGGGAUAACCGAGGGAAACUUCGGCUAAUACCGCAUGCGCCCCGGGCAACCGGGGAAAGAUUUAUCGCAGCAAGAGGGG
rnacentral:rRNA from 1 species